AGCGAACGCUGGCGGCAUGCUUAACACAUGCAAGUCGCACGGGCGGGGGCAACUCCGUCAGUGGCGGACGGGUGAGUAACGCGUAGGAAUCUAUCCUUGAAUGGGGGACAACCGUGGGAAACUACGGCUAAUACCGCAUGAUGCCUGAGGGCCAAAGACGAAAGUCGUUUGAGGAGGAGCCUGCGUCUGAUUAGGUAGUUGGUGGGGUAAAGGCCUACCCAAGCCUGCGAUCAGUAGCUGGUCUGAGAGGAUGAUCAGCCACAUUGGGACUGAGACACGGCCCAAACUCCUACGGGAGGUAGCAGUGGGGAAUAUUGGACAAUGGGCGCAAGCCUGAUCCAGCAAUGCCGCGUGGGUGAAGAAGGUCUUCGGAUUGUAAAGCCCUUUUGGCGGGGACGAUGAUGACGGUACCCGCAGAAUAAGCUCCGGCUAACUUCGUG
rnacentral:rRNA from 1 species